UGUAAAAAUGAGACAGUGGUGUUCCCAAGG
rnacentral:piRNA from 1 species